ACACACACACACACACACACACACACACACACACACACACACACACACACACACACACACACACACACACACAGACAUACUGGCAUACACACAGACAUACUGGCAUACACACAGACAUACUGACACACACACAGACAUACUGACACACACACAGACAUACUGGCAUACACACAUAGGCAUACACACAGACAUACUGGCAUACACACACAGGCAUACACACACAGACAUACUGACACUCACACACACACACACACAGACAUACUGACAUACACACAGACAUACUGGCAUACACACAGACAUACUGACACACACACAGACAUACUGGCAUACAAACAGACAUACUGACACACACACAGACAUAC